rnacentral:rRNA from 1 species
GGGACACGUGGUAUCCUGUCUGAAUAUGGGGGGACCAUCCUCCAAGGCUAAAUACUCCUGACUGACCGAUAGUGAACCAGUACCGUGAGGGAAAGGCGAAAAGAACCCCGGCGAGGGGAGUGAAAAAGAACCUGAAACCGUGUACGUACAAGCAGUGGGAGCACGCUUAGGCGUGUGACUGCGUACCUUUUGUAUAAUGGGUCAGCGACUUAUAUUCUGUAGCAAGGUUAACCGAAUAGGGGAGCCGAAGGGAAACCGAGUCUUAACUGGGCGUUAAGUUGCAGGGUAUAGACCCGAAACCCGGUGAUCUAGCCAUGGGCAGGUUGAAGGUUGGGUAACACUAACUGGAGGACCGAACCGACUAAUGUUGAAAAAUUAGCGGAUGACUUGUGGCUGGGGGUGAAAGGCCAAUCAAACCGGGAGAUAGCUGGUUCUCCCCGAAAGCUAUUUAGGUAGCGCCUCGUGAAUUCAUCUCCGGGGGUAGAGCACUGUUUCGGCAAGGGGGUCAUCCCGACUUACCAACCCGAUGCAAACUGCGAAUACCGGAGAAUGUUAUCACGGGAGACACACGGCGGGUGCUAACGUCCGUCGUGAAGAGGGAAACAACCCAGACCGCCAGCUAAGGUCCCAAAGUCAUGGUUAAGUGGGAAACGAUGUGGGAAGGCCCAGACAGCCAGGAUGUUGGCUUAGAAGCAGCCAUCAUUUAAAGAAAGCGUAAUAGCUCACUGGUCGAGUCGGCCUGCGCGGAAGAUGUAACGGGGCUAAACCAUGCACCGAAGCUGCGGCAGCGACGCUUAUGCGUUGUUGGGUAGGGGAGCGUUCUGUAAGCCUGCGAAGGUGUGCUGUGAGGCAUGCUGGAGGUAUCAGAAGUGCGAAUGCUGACAUAAGUAACGAUAAAGCGGGUGAAAAGCCCGCUCGCCGGAAGACCAAGGGUUCCUGUCCAACGUUAAUCGGGGCAGGGUGAGUCGACCCCUAAGGCGAGGCCGAAAGGCGUAGUCGAUGGGAAACAGGUUAAUAUUCCUGUACUUGGUGUUACUGCGAAGGGGGGACGGAGAAGGCUAUGUUGUCCGGGCGACGGUUGUCCCGGUUUAAGCGUGUAGGCUGGUUUUCCAGGCAAAUCCGGAAAAUCAAGGCUGAGGCGUGAUGACGAGGCACUACGGUGCUGAAGCAACAAAUGCCCUGCUUCCAGGAAAAGCCUCUAAGCAUCAGGUAACAUCAAAUCGUACCCCAAACCGACACAGGUGGUCAGGUAGAGAAUACCAAGGCGCUUGAGAGAACUCGGGUGAAGGAACUAGGCAAAAUGGUGCCGUAACUUCGGGAGAAGGCACGCUGAUAUGUAGGUGAAGUCCCUCGCGGAUGGAGCUGAAAUCAGUCGAAGAUACCAGCUGGCUGCAACUGUUUAUUAAAAACACAGCACUGUGCAAACACGAAAGUGGACGUAUACGGUGUGACGCCUGCCCGGUGCCGGAAGGUUAAUUGAUGGGGUUAGCGCAAGCGAAGCUCUUGAUCGAAGCCCCGGUAAACGGCGGCCGUAACUAUAACGGUCCUAAGGUAGCGAAAUUCCUUGUCGGGUAAGUUCCGACCUGCACGAAUGGCGUAAUGAUGGCCAGGCUGUCUCCACCCGAGACUCAGUGAAAUUGAACUCGCUGUGAAGAUGCAGUGUACCCGCGGCAAGACGGAAAGACCCCGUGAACCUUUACUAUAGCUUGACACUGAACAUUGAGCCUUGAUGUGUAGGAUAGGUGGGAGGCUUUGAAGUGUGGACGCCAGUCUGCAUGGAGCCGACCUUGAAAUACCACCCUUUAAUGUUUGAUGUUCUAACGUUGACCCGUUAUCCGGGUUGCGGACAGUGUCUGGUGGGUAGUUUGACUGGGGCGGUCUCCUCCUAAAGAGUAACGGAGGAGCACGAAGGUUGGCUAAUCCUGGUCGGACAUCAGGAGGUUAGUGCAAUGGCAUAAGCCAGCUUGACUGCGAGCGUGACGGCGCGAGCAGGUGCGAAAGCAGGUCAUAGUGAUCCGGUGGUUCUGAAUGGAAGGGCCAUCGCUCAACGGAUAAAAGGUACUCCGGGGAUAACAGGCUGAUACCGCCCAAGAGUUCAUAUCGACGGCGGUGUUUGGCACCUCGAUGUCGGCUCAUCACAUCCUGGGGCUGAAGUAGGUCCCAAGGGUAUGGCUGUUCGCCAUUUAAAGUGGUACGCGAGCUGGGUUUAGAACGUCGUGAGACAGUUCGGUCCCUAUCUGCCGUGGGCGCUGGAGAAUUGAGGGGGGCUGCUCCUAGUACGAGAGGACCGGAGUGGACGCAUCACUGGUGUUCGGGUUGUCAUGCCAAUGGCACUGCCCGGUAGCUAAAUGCGGAAGAGAUAAGUGCUGAAAGCAUCUAAGCACGAAACUUGCCCCGAGAUGAGUUCUCCCUGACUCUUUUAGUGUCCUGAAGGAACGUUGAAGACGACGACGUUGAUAGGCCGGGUGUGUAAGCGCAGCGAUGCGUUGAGCUAACCGGUACUAAUGAACCGUGAGGCUUAACC